rnacentral:rRNA from 1 species
UGGGGAAUUUUGGACAAUGGGCGAAAGCCUGAUCCAGCAAUGCCGCGUGUGUGAAGAAGGCCUUCGGGUUGUAAAGCACUUUUGUCCGGAAAGAAAUCCUUGGCUCUAAUACAGUCGGGGGAUGACGGUACCGGAAGAAUAAGCACCGGCUAACUACGUGCCAGCAGCCGCGGUAAUACGUAGGGUGCAAGCGUUAAUCGGAAUUACUGGGCGUAAAGCGUGCGCAGGCGGUUUGCUAAGACCGAUGUGAAAUCCCCGGGCUCAACCUGGGAACUGCAUUGGUGACUGGCAGGCUAGAGUAUGGCAGAGGGGGGUAGAAUUCCACGUGUAGCAGUGAAAUGCGUAGAGAUGUGGAGGAAUACCGAUGGCGAAGGCAGCCCCCUGGGCCAAUACUGACGCUCAUGCACGAAAGCGUGGGGGAGCAAACAGGAUUAGAUACCCUGGUAGUCCACGCCCUAAACGAUGUCAACUAGUUGUUGGGGAUUCAUUUCCUUAGUAACGUAGCUAACGCGUGAAGUUGACCGCCUGGGGGAGUACGGUCGCAAGAUUAAAACUUAAAUGAAUUGACGGGUCAUAGCUGUUUCCU